CGGGAUGUGGCGCAGCCUGGUUAGCGCGCACGUCUGGGGGGCGUGAGGUCGCCAGUUCAAAUCUGGCCAUCCCGACCA
rnacentral:tRNA from 1 species